UACAGAGGGGGCAAGCGUUGUUCGGAAUUACUGGGCGUAAAGGGCGCGUAGGCGGCCCGCUAAGUCGAACGUGAAAUCCCCGAGCUCAACUCGGGAACUGCGUCCGAUACUGGCGGGCUUGAAUCCGGGAGAGGGAUGCGGAAUUCCAGGUGUAGCGGUGAAAUGCGUAGAUAUCUGGAGGAAUACCGGUGGCGAAGGCGGCAUCCUGGACCGAAACUGACGCUGAGGCGCGAAAGCUAGGGGAGCAAACGGG
rnacentral:rRNA from 1 species